ensembl:lncRNA
CAGUGAGUACUGCAUUGCCAGGCAAGUUCAUAAAAACAGCUUCAUUGCAGAUGCCUUUAAAGCUUUCCAGAUCAUUAUGCCCUAUUGUAACGUCUCUCUCAGGGACCUCUCCUUUCACACUUCUCCUUUCCCCGAAAAAGUAAAGCUUGACAGCCCCGCAGUACAAGAGAGGAAAGGGGUGCUUACAGCUUCAUUAACAUCUACAAGUUCAUGGCAAAAAAAAAUGUUACAGUUGACAGCAACCAACUAUAAAGCUGCUCUCCCUUCAGCCUCAUGCUAGUGUCGUAUUGAGACAGACUGAUAUCAAAGGGAAUGUGUAACAUCAGGGAGCAUGAAGUUAACCCCAACACAUGGAGCAUACUUCAGAGACUGCGCAGCAUUCUGCCAGUGGUCCCGACACUGCCAGGGACUUUGGCAAAGUGGGCAGUGAUUUUGACUUUUCAGAAUUGCUACAAAGAGGUUUGGAGCCCUGUUCUGACCUCGUGCUGCACCAUAGUAGAAGUGACACUGGAAGAAAGGAAAUGGCAGAAUUACAUCGGUGUAAAGAUGGCAUUGAUGCGAUCAGGAGAAACUGAGAUCAUUACAGAGCAGACUUUAGGCAUUUAUUCCCUAAACCCUUUGCAGCGUAGUCUUUAAUCAGCUGCAGAGCUGAUUUCCACAAUUCCACCUCGUAGAGAGGUCUGACUGAAAACAGUGUGAGGGGCCUCAUUACCAUCUGAGGUGAGAUGAGGUAAUAGUGUCAAUAGCUCAGAGAGGCUUUGCGCUAAUGAAAGCAAGAUCUGUGUUUUGUUCCCACCUCUUGAAGUGCUUCCUGCGUGACUUUUGGCAGUUUAGUGAAACAUUUUGCUCACUUGGGAAAUGGAGAUAUCACCACUUACCCUUAAAAAAAUUUCCAACCAUCCCAACACACUCAUUAUCGUGUGUAAGGUAUCACUCACGUGGGAAAAAAUAGUUUCAACUUCAAUUAAUAUAUUUGUGAUGGAAUGAUGCUGAAGGGUAGAUGUUCUUAUUUUGUUAUAAGACCACCUAUUUUAUCUGGUCUGUGUAAGGCUUAAGCUAAACUGGAAGACAAAAGCUUGUGCCAAGAGAAGGGUCUCCACUUGAGCAGUAGUAUAACUCUGCCCCUGUCUAUAUAGUUAUGUCAAUCUGUAGAUGGACUUUUCCUGGCCAGAUAAACCCUUAGACAUCACAGAACACGAUGAAUGCAUGCCAAUGAAGGGAAGAGGUUAAAAAAACAGUGUAAAAAUCUACCAAGUGUAAAGAUGCAAGUAUAAAUACAGCAAAAUGCUGCAGCCAUUCCUAGCAUUUCUUUUGCUGUCAAAUUGCCGUGUGAUGUUACAUUCAUCACACUGCUGUGAGUUACCAUUUUUUCAAGCCAGCUGCAUAUCCAAUACUGCUUGUAAGUCAUAUCUAACUCCUGUUAUUUGGGUCCAGGUGGAGGGAGAAGAGGUUUCUCUUGGAAUUGGUUUAACCAACACUACCCCUCCAUCCUCACAGGUGUACCCCUUACAGCAAGGAGUCUCUUCUGGAAUAAAAAGGAAGUCAAAUAUUCAGAAAACAAUGAUGAAGAAUAAAAUCAAAAAUUAUUUAAAGUCCUAGAAAAAAAAGCAUGGUAAUCUGAAUAUGACUUCAUCAGCUGAUAUUCCAAUACAGUGUCCUUUAUGUGUUUUCAACACCGUCGGUAUUUUAAAAGGUAAUACUGUGCCUCCAAUUGUCAUUAUACCCAAGAAUCAAAUUAUUGGAAUUCUGGACACAUCAGCACAAAACCGAAGACUCCCUGCCAAUUUCGUAGCCUGCUUGGAAGAGAACAUCAUAGAGCAUCACUCAUUUAUACGACUGCCAGCCUGAGAUUGUAAAUUCAGAAAACAAGAAGGCCUCAGGUGCUGCACUUUAACACGUCUUUCUGCUCCUGAAUCGCCCCCCUCCUCACUACCCCCACGUACAAGGAGGUGCGAGCACUGAAUUCCCCAGGAAUUCUUGGAGCUGGACCAGCAGUGAGUUUGACCCAACGUGCAUGAGAAGCGUGUUGUUCAGCUGAUAAGGGAGCCGAGAACAUGCAUCAGCAAACACAGUUUGUUUAUCCCGUAAUAACUGGUUUUGAGUAGUACAGCAAAAAGUGGCUGGGUCUGCACGAGGCAGAUAAGAGCUCCUACCAAAAGGACGAGCAAAGGGCACAUGAGGCUUCCUGGAAACUUCAAAAGAGAAGCCUUCAGUGGGAAUGGAUGACUAAGGGAAUUGCAAAGGGUUUCUGGAGUCUUUUAUCUUUGCACUACCUCUUCAAAUCUGGCUCAACACUUCAGUAAUUUAUUGUUGCCGUCAUCUGAUGAAUGUUCACUGGGCUCAGGCUUUCUCGUACCGCACAGGUGUUCAGAGCCAAAAACCCCACUGCUGGAACCGCAGCCAGUGGUCGUCUUGUUAAGAAUCUCAGCUAACAACCCAAAGAGGGAACAUGUGGAGCUGAAAAGUGAGCUGCUAUCUGGUUCAUACAGAUGGCUUUUUUCAGGUGUGAAAGAAUCAGUAGUAGCAGCAUUUUCGAAGGGGCACACGAUUGUUCUCCAUUCUCCUCAAGCAAAGAGAGGCUUUUAGAGCUUCUAGGCAAAUGCAAAAGCUGCAUCUACACAACCGGGUUCCCCACACCUCCCACAAGAGCAUGGAGUAUUUCUCCAACGCUUAUUUUCAUUGGGGUCUUUCACACCUGCCCUAGGAUGAAUCAUACACAGUGAAAAUGCUGUAAGCAUGCGAAAUAAUGUAAAUUCCCAAAACUUUAUUAAGGCCUUUUUGACCAAAUUUGUAAUUAGCUCUCUUGGGAGCAUGCACGUAUGAUCUCCUGUGGACUCCUCAGGGCUAUUCUCUGUUAGCAUUACUCCAGCAUGGACAAAGGCACACAUACACAUACAAAACAAAAGAGUGGAUAUCAGCAUUGCUGGUGGAGGCCCAUCAUUGGCUCUGAUGGAGGCCCCUGCUGGUUACCCACUGCACUGAGUUUUUGGUCUAUGCUGCUCAUGUAAUUUAAUGUGUCAGCUUUUGGAGGCCAGGAUUGUGUCUUUCUGUGCUAUUUGCGCUCUGUAAAGUAAGCAAGUCUUUUUUGAAAAUUACAUGGUGAAUGUUUACGUUUUUGGUCAUAUCUCACAUAUGACUGACGUCGAAGUACACUGUGUGAAAGGAAAACCAACUCUGAACUGAGCAACCACAGGAAAAAAAUGAGACUUGGUUAUGUCAGUUUGGGUUAACGUGGAGCCCUUCCUCUGUGGAAAGAAAAAAAAAAAAGGAAAGACUAUUAAAAUUACACUCUAAUUGGAACUCAUAUCUUUGCAAACAUAAAUAAAUGCCUGAGUGCCAUUUCAGAGUUUAGACUCUGAGACUUCUUAUUUAUUUAUUUUAAUAAAGAAGACGAGCAUGGAGUCACUCAGACCCAUCCAACACAAGUUAGGGAAGAAGCAGACAUGUCCUGGUGACAAUCUUGGGCAGCCACUGUAGACAAGAGCAGCCGUAUAGGGUCACCUGAUAAUUCCAAAUCUGUGGGCCAGUUUUAUUAGCCUUCUGUAGCUCAUCUCUGCCCCAGGAUAUGCCGGACUCAGAGACAGGAGGAUAUGAGGGUCUAAUUCAUCCAGAACACUUCCGCACUAAGGGACCUGCCUGGAUUACUAUGCUCUUCGCACCUCAUCUGGUCCAGAAGCAGAAAGCUGAAUGUAAGCUCCAGCUGCUCCUCGCGUUUCACUGUGACCACGAGAUAAAGUCCAUUGGUUCAACCCUUGGGGAUACCAGAGCUGGCCUGUGGGCUGCCUUUGACUGCAGCUGACCUUGGAGCUGCCAUGGCUAAUCUCCUGUUGUGUGAGAGAUUCAAGAAGGGUGUCACUGCUUGUGCACACGUGGCUGUAACAAGAAGGGGAUUUCUUUAAAAACAGUUGUUUCAUUCUGUCAGGAGAAAGCCUGAAGCUGUACGCUGACAAAAAUCCCAUUUGUUACUAAAAUGUCCAACAAGCUCAUUCAUAUGUAAUAUUUAGUUUAUUCACGUACGCGUUUCACUGAAGUUCUGGCUCUGAUCCCUAGAGCUACCAUUCUGGCAUCUUUCAAAUCUCAUCUGAGAUUGACUCCUGUGAAGCCUGGAAAAGUGAUUUGCUUAUCAGCUCCUAUGUAAAUCCCUCACCUUUCAAAGGACUACUGAUCUAUCUUUGUGUUCCUUUGACUCACUGAAGUCUCUGCAUGACGACACGGCUCCCAUUUAUGAUUUCCUUUCCCUUUCUCCUUACAUGCCGUCUGUUACAGCCACUCUUGGGUCGUGGCUAAUUUUAGAUUAUCAGACUUCCAAACAAAGUUCAUUGCCUUGUUUCCCCUAUUUGCCCUGGACUUAUUCUCUCUUUUGC